GUGCUUCAGCAGCACAUAUACUAAAAUUGGAAUGAUACAGAGGAGAUUAGCAUGGCCCCUGCCCAAGGAUGACACACAAACCCUAUGAAGUUUUUAUAGGUGAA
ensembl:snRNA U6 U6 spliceosomal RNA